rnacentral:tRNA from 1 species
GGCGAGGUAGCUCAGUUGGUUAGAGCACUGGAUUCAUAACCCAGAGGUCGGCAGUUCAAGUCUGCUCUUCGCUAC